rnacentral:snRNA from 1 species
AUACUUACCUGGCGUAGAGAACACCGUGAUCAACAAGGCGGUUUCUCCAGGGAGAGGCUCUUCCAUUGCACUUCGGUCGAGCUGACCUCUGCGAUUACUCCUAAUGCGAGUAACUCGGGCGCACAAUUUUUGGUAGUCGGGACUGCGUUCGCGCUGUCCCGGU